rnacentral:rRNA from 1 species
AGAGUGUAAAGGCAAAAGAGAGCUUGAUUGCAAGACAUACAGGUCGAGCAAGGAUGAAAAUCGGACUUAGUGAUCCGGUGGUUCUGCGUGGAAGGGCCAUCGCUCAACGGAUAAAAGCUACCCUGGGGAUAACAGGCUUAUCUCCCCCAAGAGUCCACAUCGACGGGGAGGUUUGGCACCUCGAUGUCGGCUCAUCACAUCCUGGGGCUGUAGUAGGUCCCAAGGGUUGGGCUGUUCGCCCAUUAAAGUGGUACGCGAGCUGGGUUCAGAACGUCGUGAGACAGUUCGGUCCCUAUCCGUCGCAGGCGUAGGAAAUUUGAGAAGACCUGUCCUUAGUACGAGAGGACCGGGAUGGACGUACCUCUGGUGUACCAGUUGUCCUGCCAAGGGCAUGGCUGGGUAGCUAUGUACGGAAUGGAUAAGCGCUGAAAGCAUCUAAGCGCGAAGCCAACUUCAAGAUAAGAUUUCCCACCGCAAGGGUAAGACCCCAGAAAGACUAUCUGGUUGAUAGGUCGAAGGUGUAAGUGCAGCAAUGUAUUUAGCUUAUCGAUACUAAUAGGUCGAGGACUUGACCAA